rnacentral:lncRNA from 1 species
CCUCGGCACUGAGCUGAGACGCGCUGAGCAGUUUGCUCUCCUUUUUCCACUUCAUGCGCCGGUUCUGGAACCAGAUCUUGAUCUGCCGCUCGGUCAGGCACAGGGCGUGCGCGAUCUCGAUGCGCCGCCGCCGCGUCAGGUAGCGAUUGUAGUGAAACUCUUUCUCCAGCUCCAGCGUCUGGUAGCGCGUGUAGGUCUGGCGGCCGCGUCGGCCGCUGGGCCCAAAGGAGGAACCUGUUACGCAGAGAGAAGAUGCUGAGGCCUGGGGUCAGCGGGGCCAGAACCCCCUCCCCCACUCGACCCUCAGACAUGGACUCUAGCCUGUCCCGGGAUGCCCUCCGCUCUCCGAGAGUUCCCUGCUCCCCCCCCCCGCCCCCCUCUUUCACUCCUCCAGCGCCCCCUCCAGAUUCCCUCCGGGUCUCCCAGGCCUGUGCCUCUGGUCUAGACUCCAGGUGGGGGAUGGGAGGAGGGCUUAAAAUCCCACCUGAGCCGAGGGGGAGGGGCUGGGGAAGCACUGGCCAGGUGUGUCUCUUCCUAGCCUCAUCUUUUCUUUCCAUCUAUCUGGCUCCCCCACCACCCUGUGAUAGAUUCCAGCCCUUAAUCCGUAAUGACGUGGAUCGAUCCAUAGUCGGCAUUAACGGCUCCUCACUUUCGUGUCCCGCUAAUGGACAUCAAUUUGGGACUUCAGGCCGACAAAUAAUCCAACCUGAGACCCAGGCGCCUGCUUCUCCCUCUCUCCCCCUCCGCCUGCCUGCGCCUGCUCCCUCUCCCUUUCUUCCCCUUAUUCGCCCUCCCUCCUCUGACUACCACCCCUUUCCUGGUGCCUCCUCCCUCCCCAGCCCCGGGCCCCCAGGGAAACACAGUCCGGGACAGACUCAACUCUCCCUCGCCAGCGUCACGCCGCCCCCCUUCCUAUGACGCACUCCGUUUUUAAUGGAACCGUCUUCGGGUGGGGGACCCGACCAGGGCUGGGGGCACGAGGGAAAGCCACGCCAGUGGCUGCGGCCCCUGCCCCCUCCCCUGCCCCGGAAUCCGGCUCUGGCGUGGCGCUCCGGGAGAGCCCACUCGCUCCCCCUGGCUCCCAGUGCAGCUGGGACUUUGCAAACUUUGUAACUCCUGAGGGCCAGAGGACAGAGCGGGAGACCCGGGGCAGGCGCCCAGUCCUCCCUUAGCUCCUAACUGAGAUGCCCACCCAGCACCCCGGGGGGGGGCGGGGGCGGGAAGGAGGUGGGGGCGCUACUUCUGUCCCCGGGGGUGGGGGCCCGCGGGGGUCGGGGCGGCCGCGGGAGGGCUCACUCACUGUUGCACGAAUUCAUCCGCUGCAUCCACGGGUAGACCGGAGUGGAGCACUUCUGCUCCUCCGCCUCGCCGAACACGCUCUUGUCCUGCGCACAGUCUGACUUCCGCGGCUCAGGGUGGAACCGGGGCGGCUCUUCGGCGCCCGAGAGCGCGCAGGCCGACUCCUUCUCGCGGUAGAAGGCCGGCGCCGGCCCGUAGUCGCAGGGCGCCGCUCGGCCGUAGCCGCCGCCAGCGGGCGGGUAAUAGGAGGAAGCGGCAAAGCCCUUGUCCUGGCCGGGCCCGGGCCCGUAGGGCGCGGGGUAGUGCCUCAGCGGGUCCGCAUAGCCCGACGAGUAGAGCGGUAGCUGGCCCAGGAAGGACUCCUGCCCGCUGGCCAGAGUGACGGGGAAGGUGGAGUUCACGAAAUAGGAACUCAUUGGGAGGGGAGGCGCGCUCGGCCGCUGCUGCUCCGCCGGGUUUAUGAUUUGUUGUGUUUUAUAGUCCGAGCGCCGCGCCUAUUAGUAGUAUAUCUGAGAUUGGGUUUUAGCUGAGGGGGGAUGGCGAGGUGCCAGUGAGGGCCAGAAGGAAAUACAACCAUCUGAUCCAACACUGACCAAUGGCAGAGGCAGGAAUUGUCAAAUAGCACCCAGGAGGAGCGCAGCCCGCGCGAGGGACCCGCGCACAAACCUAUCAACCUUUUUUUUUUCCCUCCUUCUUCUCCUUCUCCUCUCUCUCUCUCUCUCUCUCUCCCCGACAACACAACGCGUCCUGUUCCACCUACGUAGGAUCUGCGAAAGAGGCGUCUGUGCCUUGGAGGGAGGAGGGAGCAUUUGGAUUGAGACCACCCCAUCCCCCAGUGAUUAAAUAAAUAUAUCCCUCCCCUCCCCACGCAGGAUAGGAAAAAGUUAAUUGUGUUUUCAGAAAAGUUAACCCCUGCGUGGCUUGAGCCCCGUUCCCUCAAGGGAAGGGUGGGUAAAUGUCCCCCGAAUGAAUCUCCGCGUGGUGAGGAGAGAACUGAAGGAAAAGGUUUGUUUCUAGGGUUUUGUGUAGUUAGAGAAGGAGAAGAGUUCACUGUUUAGCAUCGCUUUCAGAAAGAGAGGCGAAGAAGAGGAAGCACUCUCCUUCCCAGGUGAAAACUGUUUUUCCUGCUUCUCAGGUCUACUCUGUCUCCUCCAAGCCUGGGUUUAUUAUUCUCGCUUCUACACAAUUCUUAUGGUCUGAAGGGCAGGCCAGAGCCCAGAGGACCCAGAAGUCUGGGAAAUAGGCGGGUCUGAGCCCAAGGUUCUCCCUCCGGCUCUGUGGCUAGGUUAAGCUAAGCGAGGCUAGGAGCUUCUUGGAAGGCUACGGCGGCUGCCCAAGACGUCCUGCCUGGUUCCAGCAUCUGCUGCUUGCUCUUGGAAUGGGAAGGGGCACUGGGGAAAGGGAAUAGCCUUCUCUUCACUUGUGGGAUAGGGAGAGGAAGAGGAAGGGACAUCCCCCAGCCUAGGUUCCCCUGAUCCCUACCCUGCCUGCAACACUCACUCCACCCCCACCCCCUACCCCCCAAAUCAUUAGAAUAUCCUGGGCUACAGAUUCUUAAGAAUCAAAGAUAUCUCAGUACGUCUGGGUACAGGGAAGAAAUUGUUCCCCCUCCAAUCUGGGUCCUCAAAACUGCCUAAUAUUUGAGGCAAUCAGAGACAGCCGGGAAGAGAGGGGACCUUGCUCCUUUUCCAGGUCUCUCCAGAAGCUGGCAGGUCUCUUUAAAAUGAAUUUUUUCCCAAGACUCGGUUUGGGCUUAGUUUUAUAAGGAGGGAGAGGUGUUCAGGUCCUCCUGGGGACUCAGCAGGCAGCUUACAACUAUCAGCCCGAAUCCCCUCUCCAGAGGCUCACCACCCUUCUGUCAGACUCUCAGUGUCUCUCCAGUCCCUCCCACAUCUCAUAUUUGUAUCACCAGCUUUGCUGCUGCACAGGCUUGAGUGUGAGAAAGAGUGCUCAUCUCUGUUCCUCUCUCUCUUUCUCUCCCUCUCUCUCUCUCUCUCUCAUCUAAGGAAAAUGAGCCUUGAAGCCAGGCUGGAAGACUGAAUCACAAUGUUUUCAACAUUCUAACUAUGCACAUGGAAGCCAGGCACUAAAGGUCGAUAAUGUUCAGACCUGAGUUCAGGAAUGAGUCAGGAUGUGUGACAAAAUCUGAUGAUGAAGGGGCCAGCUGACUGUCUGCUAUCUCAUACUUUGGGUUCCUUUUUGUGGGCCAGGUUUGCCCACUAAAGAUGACACAAGAUACUAGGGAAAGUGGUUGGGAUACUAGGGAAAGGGCUGAGCUUGGUGACCAAAAGUGGGAAAUUGGUUGGUUGCACAGUGGCCUACAAGGAUCCCGGAACUCGGGAAUGCUUCUAGGCUAUACCUUCAUGGCCACAUAGUGAUCCCUGGAUGUCCCACCAAUCACUUCCUAGCCCAACUUGGGGGGGGGGGAAGGGGGUUAUCAAAAUUUAAGAAAAUAAACUCAAGUCUUCUAAUGAUGAAGAAUCCUAAGUGCCCCAAUCUAGCUGUGAUUGGGCCAACUCCUAGAGAGGAAUAGGGAACAUUUGGGCUGGGGGAGCAAGGUCAGGAGGGUGCCUGUAUGCACCUCCCUCCUCCUUGCCACUGAGGCUAGGCCUUGGGCCAUAUCUGUCCUGCCUCCUCCCUGGUCACAGUGUCCCCUUCCUAGAAAUGCACAAUGUGGGCUUUGCUGUGGAGUCGAGACUAAGUAGGAUGCUGUAAGACAGGGAGACUUCCCUGAUACAGAAGCAUGAAAAUAAUCUCCUUAUCCUUAGAGCCACAGCCCCAAAUUAACCUCACCUCUGCAGGUUGCCUGUCACGAGAUGGAGCCCGAAGCAGGGCCUGGGCGCCUGGAGUCCAGCAUGAAAAGAAAUAGCGCCUCAUCGCUCUUAUCUAAGCCCAGAGGUAUUUAUGAGCGUUUAUUCGUCUGAUCCGUUUGUUUGGGAGAAAGAGCAGACAGGGCCCGGCCAGAGGCCGCCUGGUCUCUGGAGCCAGAUCUCUACGAAUCUGUCUGUGGUUCGGUCCACUGCCGUCUGUCUGUCUCCAAGGGGGAAUAUGUAAAUACCCAGCAGGCACAGCCGUCUGCCAGUCUGGGGUGUCUCUCCCAGCCUCAUUGAGGAAGUGUGUAUAUAGAGAGAUGGAUAUAAAUGUGUACCAAGUCUUGACUACGCAACAGAAGGAUUGUACAGAAACCCCACAGGCAGAAUUUAUAAUUGUAAUAUUCUAUGCUGUAGAUCCGAGCUCCUCUGGAUGUGCACGCAUUUUCAUUUCCCAGGGAAAUGUCCGAGUUGUGCUCAGCAACUGAGUAAAAUUCUCCUGCACCGGUAACCUCAGGGAGGGGUUUUUGCCUGUAUGUGUACGGAGGAGAGGAGGAUUGAGACACUGUCCAAGUUUCCCAUUUCCUCACAGCUACAAAGCUCCCCCCACCUCCGGCUGAUUGGGUUGUGGACAUCUUCCCCCAGCCCACUCCCAAUUCUGGCUGGGAUGGAGCGAAUGAAAAUAACUUGACUCGAUUCUUCCCCUAGACUCUGUGAUUCUCUGAAUUUGGGAAACAUAAAUGUUCCCAGAGGGAGUUCCCAACCUAGGGGAGCUGUUUACUAGGGAUAUUGCCUUAAAAUUAGCCCGCCCAAAGCGCCGGUACAAAGACCUCAUUUCCAUUAUGCAAAUGAACGGCACCGUCUCUGAUCUUGGGGGGUGGGAUGGGCGGUGACGCUCAGCUCACUCUCCCUGUUCCAGGCACCCAGGUCCAUGGGCACCCCAGGAGCCCCAAAGUGUUUCAACCCCCUGUACCAGCCACCUUCCCUCCCUACCUGUCCUUCGGAUUGCUCACAAGAAAGAGGGGCCCGAGACUUUCCGGGCAGGCUCCCUCGGGGCCUCCGCACUGGGCCGGGCCUUCUGGCCUCGGAAAGUCACUCUUUCUGCCCAAAUGCUGAAAGGGCAGCUCUCCUGUGGUCCAGACUCUGGAGGCGCCACAGCCGCUGGGUUUGCCCCCCAGCACCGCCGGCCCCCCUCCACCUCGGCAGUUCUGGCCCAGACCCUAGUAACACCUCGGCCUGCCUGGCACCGCAGGCAAUUUCCUGGAGCCCCCGCCCAGGAACUGGGGCCACAGCACCUUGAAAGGAGCGGCCAGAGCUUCCUCCUGCGGCUUGAAAGCCCGAGCUAAUCAGUAACCCGUGAGACAGGGGCCAAUAUUCAAACUCGGCAGCGGAGGCCCCGUACCCCUGCCCUCGCCACCCCCUUCUGGGAGAGCAGUCGGGUUAAGCGGGUGUGAGGGGUCCUGCAAGAACGGAAAUCACAAUGGUCUGGUUCCUUAAUGAUUGAUCCCUGCUCCCACUCCCAAUUUUUACCCAAAGCAUAUUUGUGUCGAUUUUGCUUGAAACGGUCGAGAAUGGGGGAGGGGACCCACACUCACUUGCAGACACCAACAGUUUCCAGAAAAUUCGGCUCAAUUCCUUCACCACGGACUCACCGGCCAACCCGGAGAACACAGACCCGGUCUGUCUUUAGACAGCCGAGUGGAACUGCGGGACCGGCGCCUCCCCUGCUGGCCCCCUCCUUUGGCCGAAAAGAAAACCAAAUAAACCUUGAACAGCCUUGGCCUCGCAUCUCCCGAGCGGCCCGGAUGAUCCCCUCUGUAGCCUUGGAGGGGUAGGAGGGUGAGGACUCUCGACUCUGAUCCCCCAACCCUUUGGUUCAGGGCCCCCUGCCCGCGGGAUGCAGUAUUAGUCCUUUUUAAAUAUGUCCUAGAAAAAGCCGCUUUCCCAGCCAGCCGCUGGGUUUGGAGCUGGAAUGGGGCGGGCCAGGAGGAAGGGACACUUGUUUUCUAAUCCACACGCGGAAUGGCGGGUACCAAGAUCCAGCGGAAAGCGACAAUCUGGGCCCGAAGUCCCCGCAACCCGCCGAACCUGAGCAGCAGGGGCUCCGGGCGUCGCGCACGGUUCAGGCAGUGAGUGUCGCCCGGCUUGCGGCGCCGAAGCCGCAUGUCUCCGAACGGACGGUAGAUGGCAGCAAACCGCAUAAUUUGGGUCAGAGCAAACUGUCUAAGGGAUGAUUUAUAACCACACCAAGACUACAGGAGAAAAAGACCUUCAGUCUGGAUGGGUUUGGGGAAUUUUUCCUUUGAGAAUAGGCCCCGAGUACCGUGGGUGCUGGCCGAGAACUUCUCUCGCUGCGUAGCCGAGGGUCCCCGCAGGUACCCAGUCCGGGCCUGCUUCUAGGCAUCUACCUGUGCCUCCAGGGACCCCCUUCCCGCGCCACAAGUGGCCUGCAUCCCUCUCUUCCCAGCUCAGGAUCCAGAAUGCCAAUAUCCCCCUACCGACCCCCAUCCCCCGCGAUCCCUGGGCCACCAGAGGCCCCAGGCCGAACGCUCUGCAUUUGGUCUUUAAAAAGAGGAAAGCAGUCACCUAUUCGUGCAAACCAAACUAAAUCAUAGUCUCUCCUGCCCUCCACGCCCCAAACCGCUUAUCUCUCCGCUGGCAGCUUCCCCGGAAGCCCUCCCACUCACUCUGUUUUUAGGUUCUCACCAGCUUUCCCCUUCUUCCACCCCACCAGCUACUUUAGGAAUUUCGGUCUCCCUCCCAACGAUCCUUCUCCCCCCCUCCUCCCCACCCCCAGGAGGCCUGGCUGGAGAAUGAAAUCAGGCGCCGGAGGGACAGGACUAGCUGUCUGAGCUCAGCGCCAGGCAGCUCUCCAGUCCGGACACCAUCAGGUUCCCUAACUGGGUUUUCUUUUUGAUUUUCUUCUGCUGCUUCUUCUUCUUCUCUCUCUGUCCCUCCCUGUUUUGUUUUUGUUUUUGUGUACAAGCCUCAAACACAACAACACACUCCACAGCUUCUUCACAAUCACCACGAUUGGAUCCGGGGAAAGUUUGAGGUGCUCCCACCUGAGACACACACAUGGCAAUUUCCUCCACCGAAAUCCACACACCCAUAAAACACAAGUAAUAGAAUCAAUAUUGCACAGACACCAACACGCUGUGACCUACCGCGUUAAAAACCACAAAACUGUCUCCCUGCAGAGCGACGCUCCCUCCUGCGGGAGUGGCGACAGACCUGGGCAUUCUCAGGCUGGCUUCCUGGGGGGAGGGGGUCUCCCUCGAUGUUGGUGCCUCCACCCACAGCCCUUGAAUUUCAAAAAUGUCUCCGUAAGGGAGAUAAUGAGCAUUUCUCUGUGAAUUGUUCUUUCUGUGUCCCUCUAGCCGCCGCCUCCUCGCCCUCGCGGGCCUCUGCGGACAUUCCAGGCCCUCCAGAGACCAGAACGUCCCUCGGCACCACCUCCCCUUGUGCCAAUGCCGCCGGGAAACCGCCGAUACCCAUGCCGGGCAAGAGAACUGCGCGGGGGGCAACUGGGGGAGGCCGGAACAAGGGGGGGGGUGGGAGGGGGAGGGGGCGCGCACCCACAGAGGCCAUAGCGACAGGCUUCUAGGGCGCCCUGGAGCCCUGGCGCCCUGGAGCCCAGACGCCCCCAUCGUCUCCUUUGCAGCCCCCU